rnacentral:rRNA from 1 species
GACGAACGCUGGCGGCGUGCUUAACACAUGCAAGUCGAACGGGAUUUAGUAGACAGAAGCCUCGGCUAAAGAUUACUAAUGAGAGUGGCGAACGGGGGAGUAACGCGUGAGCAACCUGCCUAUGACAGUGGGAUAGCCUCGGGAAACCGGGAUUAAUACCGCAUAAAAUCGUAGAAACACAUGUUUCAACGGUCAAAGAUUUAUCGGUCAUAGAUGGGCUCGCGUCUGAUUAGCUAGUUGGUGAGAUAACAGCCCACCAAGGCGACGAUCAGUAGCCGGUCUGAGAGGAUGAACGGCCACAUUGGAACUGAGACACGGUCCAAACUCCUACGGGAGGCAGCAGUGGGGAAUAUUGCACAAUGGCGGAAACCCUGAUGCAGCGACGCCGCGUGAACGAAGAAGGUAUUCGUAUCGUAAAGUUCUGUCCUAUGGGAAGAUAAUGACAGUACCAUAGAAGAAAGCUCCGGCUAAAUACGUG